GCCAAGGCGGCUGAGGAGCCAAUGGGGCGAAGCUACCAUCUGUGGGAUUAUGACUGAGCGCCUCUAAGUCAG